rnacentral:rRNA from 1 species
AACGAACGCUGGCGGCAGGCCUAACACAUGCAAGUCGAACGCUGCAGCAAUGCAGAGUGGCAGACGGGUGAGUAACGCGUGGGAACCUUCCCAGGGGUACGGAAUAGCCCAGGGAAACUUGGGGUAAUACCGUAUAAGCACCUAGGGGGAAAGAUUUAGCGCCAUUGGAUGGGCCCGCGUCGGAUUAGUUAGUUGGUGAGGUAACGGCUCACCAAGGCGACGAUCCGUAGCUGGGCUGAGAGGAUGAUCAGCCACACUGGGACUGAGACACGGCCCAGACUCCUACGGGAGGCAGCAGUGGGGAAUAUUGGACAAUGGGCGCAAGCCUGAUCCAGCCAUGCCGCGUGAGUGACGAAGGCCUUAGGGUUGUAAAGCUCUUUUGGCGGGGACGAUAAUGACGGUACCCGCAGAAUAAGCUCCGGCUAACUUCGUGCCAGCCGCCGCGGUAA